AAUACAGGAGGCACCAUUAAAUUUGAAUUUCAGAUGAAUAAUGCAUAACUUUUUUAGCGUAAGUAUGUCCCAUGCAAUAUUUGGGACAUACUUAUACUAAAAAAAAAUAUGUAUUGUUUAUCUGAGAUUCAAAUUUAACUGUAAGUCCUGUCAUUUU
rnacentral:miRNA from 1 species